rnacentral:rRNA from 1 species
AUACGUAGGGGGCGAGCGUUGUCCGGAAUGAUUGGGCGUAAAGGGCGCGUAGGCGGCGCGGUAAGUCUGGAGUGAAAGUCCUGCUUUCAAGGUGGGAAUUGCUUUGGAUACUGCCGCGCUUGAGUGCAGGAGAGGUUAUCGGAAUUCCCGGUGUAGCGGUGAAAUGCGUAGAGAUCGGGAGGAACACCAGUGGCGAAGGCGGGUAACUGGACUGCAACUGACGCUGAGGCGCGAAAGUGUGGGGAGCAAACAGGAUUAGAUACCCUGGUAGUCCACACCGUAAACGAUGAAUGCUAGGUGUAAGAGGUAUCGACCCCCUUUGUGCCGGAGUCAACACAAUAAGCAUUCCGCCUGGGGAGUACGGCCGCAAGGUUGAAACUCAAAUGAAUUGACGGGG